AAAACCUAUUUAGGAACAUGUUUCAGACCUUUUGGAGUUGGUUACACCAAAUAAAAAUAAAAAAUAAAAAAAAAAUAUUUGGGGUGUUCGGGCUUCCUGAAGGUAAUACCCGGGUAUAAGUUUUGGGGCUAUGGUAAGGUUUAAGGUUUUUGGCGUUAGGGUUAAAAUCACUGUCCAAAACCUUUGUAGGAACUCUUUUCCAACCUUUUGGAGUUAGUUAGACCAAAUAAAAAUGAAAAAUGAAAAAAAAAAAUAUUUGGGGUGUUUUGGCUUCCUGAAGGUAAUACCCGGGUAUUAAGAGUUGGGGCUAGGGUAAGGUUUAAGGUUUUGGCGUUAGGGUUUAAAUCACUGUCCAAAACCUUUGUAGGAACUGUUUUCCAACCUUUUGGAGUUAGUUAGACCAAAUAAAAAUUAAAAAUGAAAAAAUAUAUAUUUGGGGUGUUUGGGCUUCCUGAAGGUAAUACCCGGGUAUUAAGAGUUGGGGGUAGGUUAAGGUUUAAGGUUUUGGCGUUAGGGUUUAAAUCACUGUCCAAAACCUUUGUAGGAACUGUUUUCCAACCUUUUGGAGUUAGUUAGACCAAAUAAAAAUGAAAAAUGAAAAAAAAAUAUUUGGGGUGUUUUGGUUUCCUGAAGGUUAUACCCGGGUAUUAAGAUUUGGGACUAGGGUAAGGUUUAAGGUUUUGGCGUUAGGGUUUAAAUCACUGUCCAAAACGUUUGUAGGAACUCUUUUCCAACCUUUUGGAGUUAGUUAGACCAAAAAGAAAUGAAAAAUGAAAAAAAAAUAUUUGUGGUGUUCGGGCUUCCUGAAGAUAAUACAUGGGUAUUAGGUUUUGGGGCUAGGGAAAGGUUUAAGGUUUUUGGCGUUAGGGUUAAAAUCACUGUCCAAAACCUUUGUAGGAACUCUUUUCCAACCAUUUGGAGUUAGUUAGACCAAAUAAAAAUGAAAAAUGAAAAAAAAAUAUUUGGCUUGUUUUGGCUUCCUGAAGAUAAUGCACGGGUAUUAGGUUUUGGGGCUAGGGUAAGGUUUAAGGUUUUUGGCGUUAGGGUUUAAAUCACUGUCCAAAACCUUUGUAGGAACUAUUUUCCAAGCUUUGGGAGUUAGUUAGACCAAAAAGAAAUGAAAAAUGAAAAAAAAAUAUUUGGGGUUUUCGGGAUUCCUGAAGGUAAUACCCGGGUAUUAGGUUUUGGGGCUAGGGGAAGGUUUAAGGUUUUUGGCGUUAGGGUUAAAAUGACUGUCCAAAACCUAUUUAGGAACAUGUUUCAGACCUUUUGGAGUUGGUUACACCAAAUAAAAAUAAAAAAUAAAAAAAAUAUAUUUGGGGUGUUCGGGCCUCCUGAAGGUAAUACCCGGGUAUAAGUUUUGGGGCUAUGGUAAGGUUUAAGGUUUUGGCGUUAGGGUUUAAAUCACUGUCCAAAACCUUUGUAGGAACUCUUUUCCAACCUUUUGGAGUUAGUUACACCAAAUAAAAAUGAAAAAUGAAAAAAAAUAUAUUUGGGGUGUUUGGGCUUCCUGAAGGUAAUACCCGGGUUUUAAGAGUUGGGGCUAGGGUAAGGUUUAAGGUUUUGGCGUUAGGGUUUAAAUCACUGUCCAAAACCUUUGUAGGAACUGUUUUCUAACCUUUGGGAGUUAGUUAGACCAAAUAAAAAUGAAAAAUGAAAAAAAAAUAUUUGGGGUGUUUGGGCUUCCUGAAGGUAAUACCCGGGUAUUAAGAUUUGGGGCUAGGGUAAGGUUAAAGGUUUUGGCGUUAGGGUUUAAAUCACUGUCCAAAACAUUUGUAGGAACUCUUUUCCAACCUUUUGGAGUUAGUUAGACCAAAAAAUAAUGAAAAAUGAAAAAAAAAUAUUUGGGGUUUUCGGGAUUCCUGAAGGUAAUACCCGGGUAUUAGGUUUUGGGGCUAGGGGAAGGUUUAAGGUUUUUGGCGUUAGGGUUAAAAUGACUGUCCAAAACCUAUUUAGGAACAUGUUUCAGACCUUUUGGAGUUGGUUACACCAAAUAAAAAUAAAAAAUAAAAAAAAAAUAUUUGGGGUGUUUGGGCUUCCUGAAGGUAAUACCCAGGUAUUAGGUUUAGGGGCUAGGGGAAGGUUUAAGGUUUUUGGCGUUAGGGUUAAAAUCACUGUCCAAAACCUUUGUAGGAACUAUUUUCCAACCUUUUGGAGUUAGUUAGACCAAAAAAAAGAAAGAUGAAAAAAAAAUAUUUGGGGUUUUCGGGCUUCCUGAAGGUAAUACUUUAAUAAUAUUAGGUUUUGGGGCUAGGGUAAGGUUUAAGGUUUUUGGCGUUAGGGUUAAAAUGACUGUCCAAAACCUAUUUAGGAACAUGUUUCAGACCUUUUGGAGUUGGUUACACCAAAUAAAAAUAAAAAAUAAAAAAAUAUUUGGGGUGUUCGGGCUUCCUGAAGGUAAUACCCGGGUAUUAAGUUUUGGGGCUAUGGUAAGGUUUAAGGUUUUUGGCGUUAGGGUUAAAAUCACUGUCCAAAACCUUUGUAGGAACUCUUUUCCAACCUUUUGGAGUUAGUUAGACCAAAUAAAAAUGAAAAAUGAAAAAAAAAAUAUUUGGGGUGUUUUGGCUUCCUGAAGGUAAUACCCGGGUAUUAAAAGUUGGGGCUAGGGUAAGGUUUAAGGUUUUGGCGUUAGGGUUUAAAUCACUGUCCAAAACCUUUGUAGGAACUGUUUUCCAACCUUUUGGAGUUAGUUAGACCAAAUAAAAAUUAAAAAUGAAAAAAUAUAUAUUUGGGGUGUUUGGGCUUCCUGAAGGUAAUACCCGGGUAUUAAGAGUUGGGGCUAGGUUAAGGUUUAAGGUUUUGGCGUUAGGGUUUAAAUCACUGUCCAAAACCUUUGUAGGAACUGUUUUCCAACCUUUUGGAGUUAGUUAGACCAAAUAAAAAUGAAAAAUGAAAAAAAAAUAUUUGGGGUGUUUUGGCUUCCUGAAGGUAAUACCCGGGUAUUAAGAUUUGGGGCUAGGGUAAGGUUUAAGGUUUUGGCGUUAGGGUUUAAAUCACUGUCCAAAACGUUUGUAGGAACUCUUUUCCAACCUUUUGGAGUUAGUUAGACCAAAAAGAAAUGAAAAAUGAAAAAAAAAUAUUUGUGGUGUUCGGGCUUCCUGAAGAUAAUACAUGGGUAUUAGGUUUUGGGGCUAGGGAAAGGUUUAAGGUUUUUGGCGUUAGGGUUAAAAUCACUGUCCAAAACCUUUGUAGGAACUCUUUUCCAACCAUUUGGAGUUAGUUAGACCAAAUAAAAAUGAAAAAUGAAAAAAAAAUAUUUGGCUUGUUUUGGCUUCCUGAAGAUAAUGCACGGGUAUUAGGUUUUGGGGCUAGGGUAAGGUUUAAGGUUUUUGGCGUUAGGGUUAAAAUCACUGUCCAAAACCUUUGUAGGAACUAUUUUCCAAGCUUUGGGAGUUAGUUAGACCAAAAAGAAAUGAAAAAUGAAAAAAAAAUAUUUGGGGUUUUCGGGAUUCCUGAAGGUAAUACCCGGGUAUUA